rnacentral:rRNA from 1 species
AUGGCCGAGCAUGGGAAACUCCAUUCGGUCAUGGAGACGAGCUACGAGGUGCCACGUCAUAUGGGCCUCCAACACCAAGACGGUGACAAGAAUGUCGAGCGAGGGCCAACCCCUUCGACCACGGCAACAAGUGUGAACCUCUUCAACAACAUGAAGACGGCGCCCACAUUGGACUCAUACUCCGAGUCAAGCUACGCGACCGCGCAUGGAGACAUUUGCACCAACAUCUCUCCGACACCCACAUAUAUCGAGAUGCCCCAUUUGUCUUGUGAGGAGAGCCACCACCCCAUGAGUGAUAUGAGUGACUCCAUCAUACGUGACACUGAGAGCAUUUCCUAUGAGAGGAUGAGUGUGACCACCACUAGCCCCACACAAGAGAGCAUGACACACAUCCUAUGUGAGGCUGAGUGCAAUUUGAGUGACUCCACCAAGUAUAUGAGUGAGAGCAUCUUUGAGGGAGUGAGUGAGCCACAAUACUUAGAGAGUGAGGUAGUUGAGAGGGCACGUGAGGCCACUAUGAUUUCUAACGACUUAACCUCUACUCCUAGUGUGUUUUCUUCUUUGGUGCUAGGUCUCCUACAUGACGACAUACCUACCCUCGACGAGUCCAUCCCUCCAAUGAACAAACCGAUGGCCAUGGUGGACGAUGGUGCACCCCCCACAUGGUUCCAUCAAGAUGAAGAUGACAACGAGACGAUCUUCAACACCUCACCUACAACACAUGAGCAGCGCUCCAAAGGUAACAUAGGUGAUGGUGCUUCUCUUGUCCCACUAGUGGACUCUCUUGACAUCGAUUGCUCCCAUGAUGUUGACCCACCUAUUCCCAUGCUUCAUGCUAGUGAGACUUCUUCAUGCCUUGACUUACCUAUUUAUGAUGAAUAUGAUGAUGACCAUGUUGAGUUGCCUAGUUGUGAUGCUAUGCUCCAUAGGAUAUCAUGUGAAAAUUCUCUUGGUCACAUCAUGUUUGACAAUCCAUUGAACUUGUCAUAUUCUAUGAGUGAGAUCUCCCAGAUUGCAUCUUUACAAUAUCAACAUUGUAACUAUGCAUGCCCCAUUAAAAUAAAUCCUAUUUGCACUUAUGGCAUAGAUAGCGAGAUGAUGAUCAUUGGCUUUUGCUUCUCUUGUGAUGAUAUUGCCUUGAUUCCUUUACAUGAUUUGCGCAAUUCAUCUACUAUGCCAUGCCACGAUCACAUUGUUCCAAAUAUGCAUUGUUUUGGAUGUUGUCAAUAUUCUCCAUGUGAUGUUUCUACUCUUACUCAUGAGGAGACCCCCAUAGAUUCCUCAUACAUAUUAGAGAUCUUGAUGCAUUCCAUAUUUUGCAUGAUUCCCAUGAUAGUGUACACCAUAUGCAUUCCUUGA